AAAAUUUAAUAAACUACAAAUGUAUUACAUUGAAUCAUAUUCAAUGUAAUGAAUGUAAUUCGAGCAUUCGAAUGCAAUCCUGAAUGCUCGAAAUGCAGCUUACUCAAAUGCAAGUACCCGUUCUACUUUUCUAACCUCUGGUCUUCAACCUAAAGUGUCUUUCUGCUGUACCUCCCUGACCACGAGACGACGAACCAUGACGGCCACGGAGAUCAUUUCACAACUCCGGAGAGCUGUUGUCACUCCCUGUCCACACACUUCCUGCCUGCUAUCUUCCUCCUUUCAGCUUCCUCUUUGCCGUUGAACAUAUAAUUCUCUAAACGGUUUCGGCCGAUGAUGACUGUUUCGGCGCAGACAUCAUCGGCCGAUCAGACGUCACCCGCCGGCCUCUCUGCAGGGAGGAACCCACCGCUCUGAAGAACCCACCGCUCUGAAGAACCCACCGCUCAGAAGAACGCAGCUCAUCCUUCGACGGUCCACGGAACCAGCGCUCAGGUGCAGGCUGAACCUCCUCCACCUCCCCCUCCACCUCCUCCAGGUGCAGGCUGAACCUCCUCCACCUCCCCCUCCACCUCCUCCAGGUGCAGGCUGAGGCUCCUCCACCUCCUUCAGGAGGCGGCGUCCCACUUAGUGUAUUUGACAAGCUGAGCUGGACACUAAAAGACAGAGUGUCAGUUUGUCAAAUACCCCAAGUGAGACGUCACUAGUCUUCAGUGGCGGUGACGAUCGCUCCAUCAGCAGCACCAACACCACUAACACCAUCAGCACCACCACCACCGGUACCAUGAGCACCUCCAACUGGUGAUGAUUAUUCACGGGUGGUGCAAUGUUAAAGAAAUAUAUACAGACUAUAAUAAAUAAUACUGUUAGUGUACUUUGUUGUUGUUGACUGGACUGUCACUCAUUAUAUUUUGAUGGAUUUGAUUUUAUGAAACAGAUAAUCGUUUGUUAUUUGUGUGUUUGCCAAGUAAAAUGUCACGUAGAUUGCACUUCUCUGUUCCCCUCCCUGGGUCUGAAAUUUUAAACCAUCCCUCAGAUGAAUCAGUGAUUUGUAUCGGGCGUGUUGUAUUGCUGCUUCCUGAAUAAAAAAGUGUCUUCUGCUUAAAAA